AUUUGUAGAAUGGGGGUCCCCAGCCCCUACGUCAGAGACAGGAAAAUAUCCAGAAAACUUCGAACAGUGUGGACUCUGUGGGAAGGACACGAAGGCCCGGAAACAUGAAGUGGCCGCCCAAGGGGCUCAGCUAGCGCCGGGCAGGACGAGAAGGGCAAGUGAAUGAAUGUUGGGAGUGGAGAGAAGUGAGGACAAGAAGUAGCACCAUCAGGACUUACAGGUAUACCUCGGAGAUAUUGUGGACUUGGUUCCAGACUAUUGCAAUAAAAAGCUUGUUCCUGUCCUUGUGGUUUGCUGUUUGGAAAAUCACCUUAAUGCAGGUGAGUCAACACAGGUGGACACGAAGAAGCGUCAUUUGGAACUGGAACUUCACACGUGAACGUGCUGAGGCUUUCUGCUGCUGGAGGGUCCGGGUUCUGUUUCUUAGCAUCUCCGUGUUUUUACUAGAAUCCAUCUCAGAAGCGAUGAAAGAAGAGCCUUUCUCUUAAAAACUGUCGUAGUACUCACCUAUUUUGGACAACACCCUCCUUUAGGAGAAGAACUAUCAAUAGUAAAAAUCAGUAUUUGGUCCGAGGGUGGGUGGUAAGGGUAGGGGGUUCCUCUUCAUUCCUUUUAUACAGGGUGUCCCCAAAAAAUGUAUACACACUUUGAAUGAUCAUAAAGUCAGUGUUUAUUAACAUACAGUUCAUUUUCAAAAAUUUAAAAGAAUCAACAGAAAUGAAUAAUGUUCUUGUCCAUGCCUGUUUUCAAACUCAUGAUCAUUCUGGUCCAGGCACUGCUGAUAACUCGAAGCAAUGGAAUCACAAACAUCAAGAAUCAUUUUGUUCAGUAUUUGUGCGCCCUCAAUUCGUCUACUGUUGCCAGUUCUGUACCAUAAACUUUAUGUAUCCCCAUA